rnacentral:rRNA from 1 species
GAUGAACGCUGGCGGCGUGCCUAAUACAUGCAAGUCGAGCGAACAGACGAGGAGCUUGCUCCUCUGACGUUAGCGGCGGACGGGUGAGUAACACGUGGAUAACCUACCUAUAAGACUGGGAUAACUUCGGGAAACCGGAGCUAAUACCGGAUAAUAUAUUGAACCGCAUGGUUCAAUAGUGAAAGACGGUUUUGCUGUCACUUAUAGAUGGAUCCGCGCCGCAUUAGCUAGUUGGUAAGGUAACGGCUUACCAGGGCAACGAUGCGUAGCCGACCUGAGAGGGUGAGCGGCCACACGGGAACGGAGACACGGGCCAAAUCCCUACGGGAGGCAGCAGGAGGGAAUCUUCCGAAAGGGGCGAAAGCCUGACGGAGAAACGCCGGGGGGGUGAUGAAGGUUUGCGGAUCGUAAAACUUUUUUAUUAGGGAAAAAAAAAUGUGAAAGUAAAGAUGAACGUCUGGACGGUACCAAAGCAGAAAGCCACGGCUAACUACGG